rnacentral:rRNA from 1 species
AACGAACGCUGGCGGCAGGCUUAACACACGCAAGUCGAGCGGGGUGAUGGUGCUUGCACUAUCACUUAGCGGCGGACGGGUGAGUAAUGCUUAGGAAUCUGCCUAUUAGUGGGGGACAACAUCUCGAAAGGGAUGCUAAUACCGCAUACGUCCUACGGGAGAAAGCAGGGGAUCACUUGUGACCUUGCGCUAAUAGAUGAGCCUAAGUCGGAUUAGCUAGUUGGUGGGGUAAAGGCCUACCAAGGCGACGAUCUGUAGCGGGUCUGAGAGGAUGAUCCGCCACACUGGGACUGAGACACGGCCCAGACUCCUACGGGAGGCAGCGGUGGGGAAUAUUGGACAAUGGGGGGAACCCUGAUCCAGCCAUGCCGCGUGUGUGAAGAAGGCCUUAUGGUUGUAAAGCACUUUAAGCGAGGAGGAGGCUCUUUUGGUUAAUACCCAAGAUGAGUGGACGUUACUCGCAGAAUAAGCACCGGCUAACUCUGUGCCAGCAGCCGCCGUAA